rnacentral:rRNA from 1 species
GAGUAGCGGCGAGCGAAACGGGAAGAGCCCAAACCAACAAGCUUGCUUGUUGGGGUUGUAGGACUCCAAUAUGGUAGUCUGUUAGUAUAGUUGAAGGAUUUGGAAAAUUCCGCUAAAGAGGGUGAAAGCCCCGUAAACGAAAUGCUAACAACACCUAGGAGGAUCCUGAGUACGGCGGAACACGAGAAAUUCCGUCGGAAUCCGCGGGGACCAUCCCGCAAGGCUAAAUACUCCCUAGUGACCGAUAGUGAACCAGUACCGUGAGGGAAAGGUGAAAAGCACCCCGGAAGGGGAGUGAAAUAGAUCCUGAAACCGUGUGCCUACAACAAGUCAAAGCUCGUUAAUGAGUGAUGGCGUGCCUUUUGUAGAAUGAACCGGCGAGUUACGAUUGCAUGCGAGGUUAAGUCGAAGAGACGGAGCCGCAGCGAAAGCGAGUCUGAAUAGGGCGAAUGAGUAUGUAGUCGUAGACCCGAAACCAUGUGAUCUACCCAUGUCCAGGUUGAAGGUGCGGUAAAACGCACUGGAGGACCGAACCCACGUACGUUGAAAAGUGCGGGGAUGAGGUGUGGGUAGCGGAGAAAUUCCAAACGAACUUGGAGAUAGCUGGUUCUCUCCGAAAUAGCUUUAGGGCUAGCCUCGGAAUUGAGAAUGAUGGAGGUAGAGCACUGUUUGGACUAGGGGCCCAUCUCGGGUUACCGAAUUCAGAUAAACUCCGAAUGCCAUUCAUUUAUAUCCGGGAGUCAGACUGCGAGUGAUAAGAUCCGUAGUCGAAAGGGAAACAGCCCAGACCACCAGCUAAGGUCCCAAAAUAUAUGUUAAGUGGAAAAGGAUGUGGGGUUGCACAGACAACUAGGAUGUUGGCUUAGAAGCAGCCACCAUUUAAAGAGUGCGUAAUAGCUCACUAGUCGAGUGACCCUGCGCCGAAAAUGUACCGGGGCUAAACAUAUUACCGAAGCUGUGGACUACACCAUUAGGUGUAGUGGUAGGAGAGCGUUCUAAGGGCGUUGAAGGUCGAUCGUGAGGACGGCUGGAGCGCUUAGAAGUGAGAAUGCCGGUAUGAGUAGCGAAAGACAGGUGAGAAUCCUGUCCACCGUAUGACUAAGGUUUCCUGGGGAAGGCUCGUCCGCCCAGGGUUAGUCGGGACCUAAGCCGAGGCCGAUAGGCGUAGGCGAUGGACAACAGGUUGAUAUUCCUGUACCAGUUGUUUUUGUUUGAGCAAUGGAGGGACGCAGUAGGCUAAGGAAUGCAUGCGAUUGGAAGUGCAUGUCCAAGCAAUGAGUCUUGAGUAGAGUUAAAUGCUUUACUCUCUAAGGACAAGUUGUGACGGGGAGCGAAAUAAUAGUAGCGAAGUUCCUGAUGUCACACUGCCAAGAAAAGCUUCUAGUGAGAAAACAACUGCCCGUACCGUAAACCGACACAGGUAGUCGAGGAGAGUAUCCUAAGGUGAGCGAGCGAACUCUCGUUAAGGAACUCGGCAAAAUGACCCCGUAACUUCGGGAGAAGGGGUGCUGACUUCGGUCAGCCGCAGUGAAUAGGCCCAAGCGACUGUUUAUCAAAAACACAGGUCUCUGCAAAAUCGUAAGAUGAAGUAUAGGGGCUGACGCCUGCCCGGUGCUGGAAGGUUAAGAGGAUGGGUUAGCUUCGGCGAAGCUCAGAAUUGAAGCCCCAGUAAACGGCGGCCGUAACUAUAACGGUCCUAAGGUAGCGAAAUUCCUUGUCGGGUAAGUUCCGACCCGCACGAAAGGCGUAACGAUUUGGGCACUGUCUCAACGAGAGACUCGGUGAAAUUUUAGUACCUGUGAAGAUGCAGGUUACCCGCGACAGGACGGAAAGACCCCAUGGAGCUUUACUGUAGUUUGAUAUUGAGUGUUUGUACCACAUGUACAGGAUAGGUAGGAGCCGAUGAGACCGGAACGCUAGUUUCGGAGGAGGCGCUGGUGGGAUACUACCCUUGUGUUAUGAACCCUCUAACCCGCACCACUAAUCGUGGUGGGAGACAGUGUCAGAUGGGCAGUUUGACUGGGGCGGGCGCCUCCUAAAAGGUAACGGAGGCGCCCAAAGGUUCCCUCAGAAUGGUUGGAAAUCAUUCGAAGAGUGUAAAGGCAGAAGGGAGCUUGACUGCGAGACCUACAAGUCGAGCAGGGACGAAAGUCGGGCUUAGUGAUCCGGUGGUUCCGCAUGGAAGGGCCAUCGCUCAACGGAUAAAAGCUACCCUGGGGAUAACAGGCUUAUCUCCCCCAAGAGUCCACAUCGACGGGGAGGUUUGGCACCUCGAUGUCGGCUCGUCGCAUCCUGGGGCUGUAGUCGGUCCCCAGGGGUGGG